rnacentral:rRNA from 1 species
CCUACGGGAGGCAGCAGUAGGGAAUUUUCGUCAAUGGGCGCAAGCCUGAACGAGCGAUGCCGCGUGAGUGAAGAAGGCCUUCGGGUCGUAAAGCUCUGUUGCGGGGGAAAAAAGGCAGCAUCAGGAAAUGGGUGCUGACUGAUGGUGCCCCGCCAGAAAGUCACGGCUAACUACGUGCCAGCAGCCGCGGUAAUACGUAGGUGGCGGGCGUUAUCCGGAAGGAUUGGGCGUAAAGGGUGCGCAGGCGGUCCUGCAAGUCUGGAGUGAAACGCAUGAGCUCAACUCAUGCAUGGCUUUGGAAACUGGAGGACUGGAGAGCAGGCGAGGGCGGUGGAACUCCAUGUGUAGCGGUAAAAUGCGUAGAUAUAUGGAAGAACACCAGUGGCGAAGGCGGCCGCCUGGCCUGUUGCUGACGCUGAGGCACGAAAGCGUGGGGAGCAAAUAGGAUUAGAUACCCCUGUAGUC